GACAGAGGGUGCAAACGUUGCUCGGAAUCAUUGGGCGUAAAGCGCGUGUAGGCGGCUCGGUAAGUCUGCUGUGAAAGUCCAGGGCUCAACCCUGGGAUGCCGGUGGAUACUGUCGAGCUCGAGUCCGGAAGAGGCGAGUGGAAUUCCUGGUGUAGCGGUGAAAUGCGCAGAUAUCAGGAGGAACACCAAUGGCGAAGGCAGCUCGCUGGGACGUGACUGACGCUGAGACGCGAAAGCGUGGGGAGCAAACAGG
rnacentral:rRNA from 1 species